GAAGCUGAUUUGUAUCCUGUCCCUUACAAACCAGCUUCUGGUUUUAAUAGAAAUGGGUUGAGAAGUGGCCAAUUAACCUGCUUUCCAGAUGCUCACCCUUCAAUUAAAUAUCCUAAUGAGGCUUCAAAUUUAACACCUGUGAGCCAGGUUUCCCAGCACUCAGGGAACUUGGCAGUGAAAAGCAAUAUUUUUAAAAUGUAAAUCUGGGCAUUCAAGCUUUGCUGCUUUCUUCAGGCUUUUAAUAACUGGUGGAGGCUAUAUGAUCAAGUCAUACAACAUAUUCUCGAUGAGCGAAAAAUCAAGUUCCUGUAGACUUCUCACUGACAUGGACAAGGCACCUAUGAAGAGCUGUUCAAGAACCCAGAGUAUCGUGUUGCAGGGAAAUAGGCAAGUUGAAUCCAGAGCACAUCAUCACAUAAUGUGAUUGGAACAUCAAGCACUCCAGUGCCACUACUGGGAAGAACCUUGUACUACAGGCAAGCAACAGAAUGGAUUAUGUCAGAUGCAACAAGAAAAACACUUGAUUUUGUGAUUACUGCAAAGCUCAAUUUUCACAGAAAAGCACCAUAUCAGCAACAACAGUGAUUUAAUCAGGUCUAAGUUGUUUGUUUGCAAAGAGUAAUUAAUCAUCACAUUCCAUUGUGAAACUGUGAAUACCUAACUUAUAGAAGGUAAUUUUCAUAUUAUUCUCUGGCAUGAAGAACCUUGCCUGCUGCUAACAUAGGAAAAUUGCCAGUAGUAUGUCCCAUAGUUUUCUGAUAUGUCAUGGUAGUUUGCAAGACUUUUCACUACCAGUGAGUGUACAGCUAAAAUUUCCCCUUUUUAUAUA